CCUUCCAAGGGACGGCCCGGCCACCACAGGCCGAGCCGAUCUCCACCGUUGGUACCUACGGGUCCGCCUUCGUGUCGCCGUCACAACCUGACCGAUCUCAACCCCGGGGCCGCCCUGAGUUGGCCGGAAAACCAUGUUUUACGACGGAGGUUCCUGCAAAGCCACCCGAACUUCCAGCUCGAAAUUCUCCUUCGUUUCUCCACCAAAUCGAUCGAGUAAGGCAUCAGAGUUCCAGCCGAUCAGCAUGAGGAAGCUUCAAAGGGUCAAAUUAGCUUGGACCAUCUGCCGUAGAAGGACGCGGGAUCCACCACCGGGCCAA